UACGAAGGGGGGCUAGCGUUGCUCGGAAUCACUGGGCGUAAAGGGUGCGUAGGCGGGUCUUUAAGUCAGGGGUGAAAUCCUGGAGCUCAACUCCAGAACUGCCUUUGAUACUGAGGAUCUUGAGUUCGGGAGAGGUGAGUGGAACUGCGAGUGUAGAGGCGAAAUUCGUAGAUAUUCGCAAGAACACCAGUGGCGAAGGCGGCCUGCUGGGCUGUUGCUGACGCUGGAGGCGCGACAGCGUGGGGAGCAAACAGG
rnacentral:rRNA from 1 species